CUUGCACCCCAUAAGAGGUCCAGCCUGCCCAGUGAAAUAUUCAACGGCCGCGGUAUCCUAACCGUGCGAAGGUAGCGUAAUCACUUGUUCUCUAAAUCAGGACUAGUAUGAACGGCACCACGAGGGUUAUACUGUCUCCUUUUUCCAAUUAGUGAACUUAAUCUUCCCGUGAAGAAGCCGGAAUAAUCCUAUAAGACGAGAAGACCCUUUGGAGCUUUAAACAUCAUAGCACUUGCAUCACUACCUCUAUAUUUCUGAAUACUAUAACUCCCGCACGAUGACUAUAAGUUUUAGGUUGGGGUGACCGCGGAGUAAAAUAAACCCUCCACACUGUAAGAAUCUUUAAAUCUUAACUUAGAGCUACACCUCCAAGUAUCAGUAUACUGACAUCUAUUGACCCAAUAUAUUUGAUCAACGAAC
rnacentral:rRNA from 1 species